UAUUUUCAACUAAAUUGAGAUUUGAACUCUCUCUUCUCCAAAGAGUUUAAGAUUAGAGCUCUCUUUUAACGAGCUCACAUUUUAGCAACAAUAGGUCAAAGAAAGAAUAGGCUUGUGACUCGAACCUAGGAAAGAGAUCAUAACAAUUCUUCUUUGAAAGGAAUGGGAAGUUAAUCCUACAAAACUGUAUCAUAAGCUUAAAAAGAAUUUUCAUACCAAUGGCCCUCUACCUCUAGUAAUAAGUCCACUAAAUAACAGUUGUCUAAUCCGUGGCAAGAAAGCAAUACAUUCUAUUUUUCUCCCCAAAAUGCAAAACUUUUUGAAUCUAUAUCCUAGCCAUGUGUUCAAGCAUUAUCACCUCAUUCUUUUUACUCGGUAUCAUUCUCUUCUGCCUUUGUAACGCCAACUUCAGCCGGCCGAAUAAUACGAUCAUACAAAGUGUAUCCUGCCUUUAGUACCGCUGCAACAGUGCCUGGAGGCUUAGAAGCAUCUGGUACCUGGAACACUGCAUUAUGUCUAUGUGGAUCGAAUGGCUCAUUUAUUGGAUCAAAGUUUUCUACUCCAAAUUUCCUAAAUACCUGAAAUCCCAAACAUCAUAAAGUUGUUUUGGCAAUAAAUUAACCCAUAAAUGUCCUCCCAAGCACCUCUAGUGCAAAAUUUAAACAAUAAUGAUACCAUGUAGCCGAGUUAUGAUUGAUGAAGUAAUAAAGGAUGUUUACCUCUGCCAGCUGUUUCUCAGUCAUUUCAACUCCUUCCAAAAGGGUCUUAAGAAGUGGAACUGCCCCAGCAGUGUCAGUAGAUGCAUCAAUUUUUGAAUAACUGUCUUUGACAACUGAUGAAGCUCUUCUCAAAUUGUCUGCAACAUCUAGUAGACUCUUUGCGAAAUUCUGUAUGGCAAACUUUUUAGAGUUCUCUGCUUCACGUUUUGUCCUUUCCAUGACAUUCUCCAUUUCUGCAUAAGUGCGAAGAACUUUAUCUUGCAUUUUUUCUAUCUCUUUGCGCUUCAACUUCAGAAGUUCUUCCUUUUCCGCCACAAGCUUCACCAAAUCAUCCAUUGACAGAUCACCUUCAGCUUCUGAAUCUGACUGUUUGGUCUCUCCAGGAGAUGGAUCUUCUACCUGAUCAGAAGGCUUUGCAUCUCCAUUUGGUUUUUCUGGUUCAACAUUUGAUGAAGCACCAUUAUUAUCGAAACUGCUCCCCUGUUCCUUUUCAUUGAGCUCAACGGAUGCUGAUGAAGAAAAUCCAAAUCGUUGAAAGGGAGAAGAACUAAAGGCUGAUUGAUGAAACAAAGACACCUGGCUUGCAACAAACUGGUUAGGAUAUUCAUGAACCAGAGAGUCAAUCCGAUUAGAGAAGAUUGGUGGAUGCUGCUUCUGCGAAGGAGAAAACAGAAGCAGAGAGCGUCGGCCCACGCCCCUCGAUACGCGUGACAAAACCACCCUGGACAUCAACAUAGCUGUAGAAGAUGAUGAAUUUGGAGAGGCAAAUGGGGAAUGUACAAAUUUCCAGAGAGUAAGAGGAAGAUUCGAGGGAAAGUGAAGGAAAAUAUAAACAGGGAAAGUGCGUGCUUGGAGCCCCUGGCCUGAAAGUAGAAGCCGCUGAAUUCUAGAAAUUUAUUUAUUUGAUGACCGUAUUGCCCUUGUCUUUUAGAAAA
rnacentral:misc_RNA from 1 species